UAGAUUCUCCUAUCAUGCCUGCUUCUGAAGUUAAAGCUGGGGACUUUUUAGUCAUCCUAACUUGUUCCAUGCGAAGUUGGCAAGUUGACUUUGAUAUACUUCAUCUUCAAUACGCUCGCAUCAUUGCCAUCUUCAACAAACAGGAAAACACACCAGGAAAGGAGGUUGCCCUUGGUUUUAGUGGAUUUGGUGCUAAUCUCCCACCUUUUGGUCACUUUCUCCAUUCCUCAUAGGCUUUGAAAUGCAUUCUUCAUGAUUUAAAUUUAAUAGUUCACCCCUUACAUCAAAUCCACCUUACAAUAUAUUGUAUUGUUUUGGCCUCACAGGAAAAGUUAAACCACGUCCCAUAUUUUUCAUUGUUUCUAUGGUCUUUUUCUUGGGGUCAGGUAUAUAUAUAUAUAUAUUUACAGAAUUUUAAUCUUUCUUUAAUCCUAAAAAUCUUGAUUGUUCAAUUCUUGUGGUGCUAUAAAAUCUCAGUUAACAUUAUUUAAG
rnacentral:misc_RNA from 1 species